GACGAACGCUGGCGGCGUGGAUUAGGCAUGCAAGUCGAACGGUAUCAUCCUUUCGGGGGUGAGAGAGUGGCGAACUGGUGAGUAACACGUAGGUUAUCUACCCUCAAGACGGGGACAACCCAGGGAAACUUGGGCUAAUACCGGAUGUGAGCAACUUUUAGUUGUUUGAAAGGUGGCGUAAGCUGUCGCUUUGGGGAUGAGCCUGCGUCCUAUUAGUUAGUUGGUGAGGUAACGGCUCACCUAGGCAAUGAUAGGUAGGCGGCCUUAACGGGUGGUCGCCCACACUGGGAUUGAGAUACGGCCCAGACUCCGUACGGGAGGCAGCAGUCGAGAAUAGUCUACAAUGGUCGGAAGACUGAUAGUGCGACGCCGCGUGAACGAUGAAUCCCUUCGGGGUGUAAAGUUCUUUUAUAUGUGAGCAGUGCUUCUUAUAUUAACAGUAUGGGGAGAGAGAUAUUAGCAUAUGAAUAAGCAACGGCUAACUCCGUGCCAGCAGCCGCGGU
rnacentral:rRNA from 1 species